rnacentral:rRNA from 1 species
UUUAAGUUGGGGCAACUACGGAGUAAAACAGAACCUCCACGAACCGCGACUAGCCCUCGCACACAAGGCGGACACGCCAACAACCAUGCAAAGCUUGAUCCAGUAAAACUGAUUUCCGAACCAAGCUACCCCAGGGAUAACAGCGCCAUCCCCUUCAAGAGCCCAUAUCGCCAAGGGGGCUUACGACCUCGAUGUUGGAUCAGGACACCCAGGCGGUGCAGCCGCUGCCAAAGGUUCGUUUGUUCAACGAAUAAUGUCCU